CCUACGGGGGGCUUCAGUGGGGAAUAUUGGACAAUGGGCGAAAGCCUGAUCCAGCCAUGCCGCGUGUGUGAAGAAGGCCUUCGGGCUGUAAAGCACUUUCAGUGGGGAAGAAAGCCUUGGGGCUAAUACCCUCGAGGAGGGACAUCACCCACAGAAGAAGAACCGGCUAACUCCGUGCCAGCAGCCGCGGUAAUACGGAGGGUGCGAGCGUUAAUCGGAAUUACUGGGCGUAAAGCGCGCGUAGGCGGUCUGAUAAGCCGGUUGUGAAAGCCCCGGGCUCAACCUGGGAACGGCAUCCGGAACUGGCAGGCUAGAGUGCAGGAGAGGAAGGUAGAAUUCCCGGUGUAGCGGUGAAAUGCGUAGAGAUCUGGAGGAAUACCAGUGGCGAAGGCGGCCUUCUGGACUGACACUGACGCUGAGGUGCGAAAGCGUGGGUAGCAAACAGGAUUAGAUACCCCAGUAGUC
rnacentral:rRNA from 1 species